CGACCGGGCCGGACAGCCGCGCAGUCAGCGCCGAAAGGCCGGCUGUGAGGAAAGUCCGGGCUCCACAGGGCAAGGAUAACGGGUAACGCCCGCCGAAGGCGACUUCAGGAAAAGUGCAACAGAGAGAUACCGCCUCUCCCGUCAUUGGAUGGGUGUGGGCCGCGGUGCCGCCGCCUCCGCACAGGGGGCCGCCGGCUGUUCUGCGCCUGCGUUGAGGUAAGGGUGGAAAGGUGCGGUAAGAGCGCACCCGACGGCUGGGAACUGUCCGUCGCUGUAAACUCUAUCCGGAGCAACACCGCAGAGAGGACUUUAGGCUUGCCCGGCCGUCCUCGAGAAGGUGGCUGGAGCGUACCGGCAACGGUGCGCCUAGAUAGAUGGCUGUCGAUUACAGAACCCGGCUUACAGGCCCGAUCGUUUU
rnacentral:RNase_P_RNA from 1 species